rnacentral:lncRNA from 1 species
AGGUGUCCCUUUCCCAUCCACCCCCAGCCAGCGGGGAUCUUCAACCCUCCAUCGGAGCUGGAGUUUGGAAGGAAGUACGAGCCUAAUCUCUUCACCUCAUUAACUUGGGGUUCUCCAACUCCUGGAGAUCUUGGAAGAAACAUCCCCCUCCACACAUACACACUUAAGGAUGUGCCCCCUCCCAAUUUAAGCUGGAGUUUGGAGGAAAAGAGAGCAAGGCCUUUGUUUGCUACAAGAAAGGGAUCUCUGGGUACAGAGAAGGAGGGGAGACACAGGGACCCCGAGACGGGAACAUCUGCUCUGUGUUAAUGUGGGGCGCGGCACAGCUCAAGGUUUGGGACACGGUGGUGGCCUCAGAACUUCCAGCCUUCUUCCUCCCGCACUGGCUGCUGGAAUGGGGGAGGGAGGAGAAGGAAGGGUUGUCUGCAAUUCUGCCUCCCUACCCCCCAAUCCAAGAAGUCUCAGGUUGUCCCAUUCCUCCCCUCCCCUCCCCAAAGUGUUUGUGGCACCCGCCCCCACUCGGAGCACUGUUUCACCUCUCCUGGGGUUACCCAGAAAAAUCGGUUUCAAAUACCCCACAAAAAGAAGUGUGGUUUCGUACAACUUAGAAGAAAAAAAAAAAAGAGUCAGUUUCACACGUCCUCCAAAAAGGAUGAAAAAAAAAAAAAAAA